UACGGGGGGGGCAAGCGUUGUUCGGAAUUACUGGGUGUAAAGGGCUCGUAGGCGGCCAACUAAGUCAGACGUGAAAUCCCUCGGCUUAACCGGGGAACUGCGUCUGAUACUGGAUGGCUUGAGUUCGGGAGAGGGAUGUGGAAUUCCAGGUGUAGCGGUGAAAUGCGUAGAUAUCAGGAGGAACACCAACGGCGAAGGCAGCUCUCUGGGACGUUACUGACGCUGAGACGCGAAAGCGUGGGGAGCAAACAGG
rnacentral:rRNA from 1 species